UAUAUGAAGUCGGAAUUGCUAGUAAUCGCAGAUCAGCAUGCUGCGGUGAAUACGUUCCCGGGCCUUGCACACACCGCCCGUCACACCAUGAGAGUCGAUAACACCCGAAGCCUGUAGUCUAACCAUAAGGGGGACGCAGUCGAAGGUGGGAUUGAUAAUUAGGGUGAAGUCGUAACAAGGUACC
rnacentral:rRNA from 1 species